UUGAUUAUUUGUUUUGAACUCAGACUUCAAAAAAGUAUUCAGGUUCUUGGUCUCCGGCGGAUGCACCCGAAUCGCUUCGAGUGACCCGCCGAAGCAACUGCAGCGUUUAGGCAAAAGGGUGGAGGUAGAUCGCUGAAAGCAAUCACACUCGGUAAUGAUCCUUCCGCAGGUUCACCUACGGAAA
rnacentral:misc_RNA from 1 species